GAUGAACGCUGACAGAAUGCUUAACACAUGCAAGUCUUUGGCGAAGCUGUGCUUGCACAGCCUAGCCAAGGCGGACGGGUGAGUAACGCGUAAGGAACUUGCCCUGCAGUCAGGGAUAACAGACGGAAACGACUGAUAAGACCUGGUAAAGUCAGGCGGACUCAUGUCCAGCCUGAUGAAAAGAGAUGCUGCAGGAGAGCCUUGCGUCCUAUUAGCUUGUUGGUGGGGUAACGGCCCACCAAGGCGAUGAUAGGUAGCCGGCCUGAGAGGGUGGACGGCCACAAGGGGACUGAGAGACGGCCCUUCCUCCUACGGGAGGCAGCAGUGGGGAAUAUUGGACAAUGGGGGCAACCCUGAUCCAGCAAUUCUGUGUGCACGAUGAAGGUUUUCGGAUUGUAAAGUGCUUUCAGCAGGGAAGAAAAAAAUGACGGUACCUGCAGAAGAAGCGACGGCUAAAUACGUG
rnacentral:rRNA from 1 species